GAUGAACGCUGGCGGCGUGCCUAACACAUGCAAGUCGAGCGGAGACCCGCCUAGAAAACCUUUGGGACAAAACGGGGAAGAGUGCGGGGCGGGCGGGGGAGGAACACCUUGAGAACCUGGCCCACAGCGGGGGAUAACCGGGAGGAAACUGUGCUAAAACCGCAAAAGGACAAACUGCGGCAUGGCAGGUGGGGAAAAGAGACUCGCUAUGAGAUGUAGCCGCGUCUGAUUAGCCAGAUGGCAGGGUAAGACCCUACCAAAGCGACGAUAAGUAGCCGAUCUGAGAGGAUGAACGGACACAUUGGGACUGAGACACGGCCCACACUCCUACGGGAGGCAGCAGUGGGGGAUAUUGCACAAUGGGGGGAACCCUGAUGCAGCGACGCCGCGUGAGUGAAGAAGUAUUUCGGUAUGUAAAGCUCUAUCAGCAGGGAAGAUAAUGACAGUACCUGAAUAAGAAGCCCCGGCUAACUACGUG
rnacentral:rRNA from 1 species